UGCAGUCGAACGGCAGCACGAGAGAGCUUGCUCUCUUGGUGGCGAGUGGCGGACGGGUGAGUAAUAUAUCGGAACGUGCCCAGUAGCGGGGGAUAACUACUCGAAAGAGUGGCUAAUACCGCAUACGCCCUACGGGGGAAAGGGGGGGAUUCUUCGGAACCUCUCACUAUUGGAGCGGCCGAUAUCGGAUUAGCUAGUUGGUGGGGUAAAGGCUCACCAAGGCAACGAUCCGUAGCUGGUUUGAGAGGACGACCAGCCACACUGGGACUGAGACACGGCCCAGACUCCUACGGGAGGCAGCAGUGGGGAAUUUUGGACAAUGGGGGAAACCCUGAUCCAGCCAUCCCGCGUGUAUGAUGAAGGCCUUCGGGUUGUAAAGUACUUUUGGCAGAGAAGAAAAGGUAUCUCCUAAUACGAGAUACUGCUGACGGUAUCUGCAGAAUAAGCACCGGCUAACUACGUGCCAGCAGCCGCGGUAAUACGUAGGGUGCAAGCGUUAAUCGGAAUUACUGGGCGUAAAGCGUGUGUAGGCGGUUCGGAAAGAAAGAUGUGAAAUCCCAGGGCUCAACCUUGGAACUGCAUUUUUAACUGCCGAGCUAGAGUAUGUCAGAGGGGGGUAGAAUUCCACGUGUAGCAGUGAAAUGCGUAGAUAUGUGGAGGAAUACCGAUGGCGAAGGCAGCCCCCUGGGAUAAUACUGACGCUCAGACACGAAAGCGUGGG
rnacentral:rRNA from 1 species